rnacentral:rRNA from 1 species
UACGUAGGGCGCGAGCGUUGUCCGGAUUUAUUGGGCGUAAAGAGCUCGUAGGCGGCCUGUUGCGUCCGCUGUGAAAUCCCAGGGCUCAACCCUGGGCGUGCAGUGGAUACGGGGCAGGCUGGAGGCAGGCAGGGGAGAACGGAAUUCCCGGUGUAGCGGUGAAAUGCGCAGAUAUCGGGGAGGAACGACCGGUGGCGAAGGCGGUUCUCUGGGCCUGUUCUGGACG